rnacentral:rRNA from 1 species
GACGAACGCUGGCGGCGUGCUUAACACAUGCAAGUCGAACGGAGCGAAUGAAAGCUUGCUUUUACGAGCUUAGUGGCAAACGGGUGAGUAACACGUAGACAACCUGCCGACAGGAUGGGGACAACAUUCCGAAAGGAAUGCUAAUACCGAAUGAAGCGGAGGAGAGGCAUCUCUCUUCCGUGAAAGAUGGCCUCUAUUUAUAAGCUAUCACCUGUCGAUGGGUCUGCGUCUGAUUAGCUGGUUGGUGAGGUAACGGCUCACCAAGGCGACGAUCAGUAGCCGGUCUGAGAGGAUGAACGGCCACAUUGGGACUGAGACACGGCCCAGACUCCUACGGGAGGCAGCAGUGGGGAAUCUUCCGCAAUGGGCGCAAGCCUGACGGAGCAACGCCGCGUGAGUGAAGAAGGUCUUCGGAUCGUAAAGCCCUGUUGACGGGGACGAACGUGCGAAGGGUGAAUAAUCCUUUGCAAUGACGGUACCUGUCGAGGAAGCCACGGCU